rnacentral:rRNA from 1 species
AACGAACGCUGGCGGCAGGCUUAACACAUGCAAGUCGAGCGCGUGGCAACACGAGCGGCAGACGGGUGAGUAACACGUGGGAACGUACCCUUUUCUACGGAAUAACGCAGGGAAACUUGUGCUAAUACCGUAUACGCCCUUUCGGGGAAAGAUUUAUCGGAGAAGGAUCGGCCCGCGUUGGAUUAGCUAGUUGGUGGGGUAAAGGCCUACCAAGGCGACGAUCCAUAGCUGGUCUGAGAGGAUGAUCAGCCACUUUGGGACUGAGACACGGCCCAAACUCCUACGGGAGGCAGCAGUGGGGAAUAUUGGACAAUGGGCGCAAGCCUGAUCCAGCCAUGCCGCGUGAGUGAUGAAGGCCUUAGGGUUGUAAAGCUCUUUCACCGAUGAAGAUAAUGACGGUAACCGGAGAAGAAGCCCCGGCUAACUUCGUGCCAGCCGCCGCCGUAAAAC